rnacentral:rRNA from 1 species
GAUGAACGCUGGCGGCGUGCCUAAUACAUGCAAGUCGAACGAAACUUCUUUAUCACCGAGUGCUUGCACUCACCGAUAAAGAGUUGAGUGGCGAACGGGUGAGUAACACGUGGGCAACCUGCCCAAAAGAGGGGGAUAACACUUGGAAACAGGUGCUAAUACCGCAUAACCAUAGUUACCGCAUGGUAACUAUGUAAAAGGUGGCUAUACUACCGCUUUUGGAUGGGCCCGCGGCGCAUUAGCUAGUUGGUAGGGUAAAGGCUUACCAAGGCAAUGAUGCGUAGCCGAAUUGAGAGGUUGAUCGGCCACAUUAGGACUGAGACACGGCCCAAACUCCUACGGGAGGCAGCAGUAGGGAAUCUUCCACAAUGGGCGAAAGCCUGAUGGAGCAACGCCGCGUGGGUGAAGAAGGUCUUCGGAUCGUAAAACCCUGUUGUUAGAGAAGAAAGUGCGUGAGAGUAACUGUUCACGUUUCGACGGUAUCUAACCAGAAAGCCACGGCUAACUACGU